rnacentral:rRNA from 1 species
AUGGCGGCGCGGCACCUCAGAUCCGGCCUCCCGCUCCUCCAAGCUCGCCUCGCGGCCAACGAAUCCGCGGCCGUCGCUCAGGUAUCGAGGGGGCUGGCAACGGAGGCGGAUAAGCCUAAGGAGAACAAGAUCAAGGUUCCAAAAGCUCUGUAUGGUGGCACCGGCAACUAUGCUAGUGCGUUGUUCCUUGCAGCAGCCAACGCAAAUUCGUUGGAAAAAGUUGAAUCCGAGAUUCUCGAUGUUGUAGGGGCAUCCAAGAAGAGCCCUAUGUUUUCUCAAUUCAUGAAGGACACAUCAGUGCCUAAAGAAACCAGGGUGAAGGCUAUAACUGAAAUAUUCUCUGAAGCCGGGUUUACUGACAUCACAAAGAAAUUCUUGUCUGCACUGGCAUCCAAUGGAAGACUGAAAUAUGUUGAGCGCAUUGCUGAGAGAUUUGUUGAUUUGACCAUGGCACAUAGGGGGGAGGUGAAAGUUGUUGUCAGGACUGUUGUUCCACUUCCUGAUAAGGAGGAGAAAGAACUUAAGGAGACCUUGCGUGAUAUCCUUGGGAAAGACAAAACCAUCUUGGUUGAACAAAAGAUUGACCAGAGUAUCAUGGGAGGACUGGUGAUUGAAUUUGGGCAGAAGGUGUUUGACAUGUCGAUCAAGACUAGGGCGAAGCAAAUGGAGGCAUUCUUGAGACUACCCUUUGACAUCUAA